UACGUAGGUGGCAAGCGUUGUCCGGAUUUACUGGGCGUAAAGAGCGCGCAGGCGGUCGUUCAAGUCGCGUGUGAAAGCCCCCGGCUCAACUGGGGAGGGUCACGCGAUACUGAUCGACUGGAAGGCAGGAGAGGGUAGUGGAAUUCCCGGUGUAGUGGUGAAAUGCGUAGAUAUCGGGAGAACACCAGUGGCGAAGGCGA
rnacentral:rRNA from 1 species